CUCGGGAAACUGAGGCUAAUGCUCGAUACAGCUCCCAGAUUUGAACAUCGUGAGCUGGAAACGCUCCGGCGCCGUAGGAUGUGGCUGCGGCCGAUUAGGUAGACGGUGGGGUAACGGCCCACCGUGCCGAUAAUCGGUACAGGUGGUGAGAGCCAGAGCCCGGAGACGGAAUCUGAGACAAGAUUCCGGGCCCUACGGGGCGCAGCAGGCGCGAAACCUUUACACUGCACGACAGUGCGAUAAGGGGACUCCGAGUGCGAGGGCAUAUAGUCCUCGCUUUUCUGUACCGUAAGGUGGUACAGGAACAAGUGCUGGGCAAGACCGGUGCCAGCCGCCGCGGUAAUACCGGCAGUCCGAGUGAUGGUCGAUCUUAUUGGGCCUAAAGCGUCCGUAGCCUGCCGAGCAAGUCCGUUGGGAAAUCGACGCGCUCAACUACUGGACGUCCGGCGGAAACUGUCUGGCUUGGGGCCGGAAGAUCUGAGGGGUACGUCCGGGGUAGGAGUGAAAUCCUGUAAUCCUGGACGGACCACCGGUGGCGAAAGCGCCUCAGGAAGCACGGAUCCGACAGUGAGGGACGAAAGCUAGGGUCUCGAACCGGAUUAGAUACCCGCGUAGUCCUAGCUGUAAACGAUGCCCGCUAGGUUUGGCGCAGGCUACGAGCCU
rnacentral:rRNA from 1 species